rnacentral:rRNA from 1 species
GUCUAUUAUGAAGUUGUUAAUAGUCUGGCCUGCUCCCUGAUUAUAAAUUAAAGAGCCGCGGUAAUUUGACCGUGCAAAGGUAGCAUAAUCAUUAGUUUCUUAAUUGGGAACUUGUAUGAAAGGUUUGACAAAGAAAAAGCUGUCUUUAUUAUAAAAAUUGAAUUUAACUUUUAAGUGAAAAGGCUUGAAUGAUUUAGAGGGACGAUAAGACCCUAUAAAGCUUUAUAUAAAAAAUAAUUAAGACUGAAUUUACAAUAAUAUUCUGAAUUAAUUAUAUAUUUUGUUGGGGUGAUAUUAAUAAAAUUAAUAUUAACUGUUAAAAGAUGAUACGUGAAUAAAAGGGUUAAAACUGUUAGUGAUCCUUAUUUAAAGAUUAAAAGAUUAAGUUACUUUAGGGAUAACAGCGUAAUUUUUCUUAAGAGCCCAUAUCGAAAGAAAAGAUUUCGACCUCGAUGUUGAAUUAAGAUAUCUGUGUAGAGUAGCCGUUACAUAAGAAGGUC